CCGGAGCGCUACGGCGCGCGUGGCGGCACACCUGCUCCCCGAGGCUGAUCGUUAACAGCCGUGGGCAGGGGUUGGGCCAGGGUACAGCUGUCAGGACCUCACUGGACAGGACCGGAGAGGACCCCGCGUAACCGCGGAACAGACACUCCCGGCAGCGGCCGCCGCCGCGGCACUGCUACGGGACGAGCCGGAGCGCUUGGCCAUGGCGGCCCGAUCCGCACUGGCGCUGCUGCUGCUGCUGCCAGUCCUGCUCCUGCCGGUGCAGAGCCGCUCAGAGCCCGAGACCACCGCGCCCACCCCUACCCCAAUCCCGGGUGGCAACUCGUCAGUGAGCAGGCCCCUGCCCAGCAUCGAGCUCCACGCCUGCGGCCCAUACCCCAAACCAGGCCUGCUCAUCCUGCUGGCCCCGCUGGCCCUGUGGCCCAUUCUCCUGUAGGGACGCCCAGCCAGCCACCUCUAAGUCGCCGCUGGGACUGGCCUGCCCCAUUGAGCAACAGAGACGCUUGACAGCCGCCCGCCUCCAUUCCUUGACUUCACCCAGAAAUGGGUCCAGAAAACUGAAUCCCACCAGCACUGGUUUGGAGCAACCGGACACCGAGGUUUCACCUCCAGGGAUUCCAUGAAGAGCCUCAAUGGAGAUGCCACAUCCUACUGAGUUAAAGAUGGGCUGAGGAACUUGGGUACCCACAAGUCUGCCUUGGGAAUCAAAAGAAAAUAUUUACCUUUAGUUUGGUUCAUUAAAUGCAUGAAGUCAAAAUAUGACCAGGAGAACAAUAAUAAGGAAAAAGUUAACUUUUGACUAAAGCCGAAUUCCUGAUUCUAAGAUUUAAAGGUCACCUACCAGGAUUAAGAUUUGGUCCUCACAACUGUUACCUGAAGAGAUUCCAGUUGAUGAAGAAGGCUGCCAUGCAGGCUCAGGGCAAGGAAAGGGAAUGUGCUGCUAGCACUGGACCUCAGCUCCGGGCAAGGCUGCACCUUCUGAACCGACGGCCCAGGAGCGAAGUGACCCAUACUUCCUCCAAAGCAUCACUCUCCAGACAUGGUAAUCCAGGCCCAGAAGCAAAGGCUCAGAUCCGACUGCUGGUCAAGAACAGACUGAAGGAGACCAGAAGUGGAAGAAGAGAUCUGUUAGGAGGCUACUCAG
rnacentral:lncRNA from 1 species